GUAUCCGAUCCACCUCCACCUGGAGCUUCACCUUGCUCUGGACUCCUUCUAACUCCUGAAGCUCCACCUCGCACUGAGCUCUCCGUCAGGUAGUAAUAUCCUCCUGUCCUCUUCUUUCCCUCUAGAAUAAUCCUAUUGCCGCGCAACACCUUCAGGAUUCCUCCACCAGCUACCAUUCUGUAGUAUCUCGAAUCCAGUCUGUUUAGUGAGAUAAGAUUCUGUC
rnacentral:lncRNA from 1 species